AGAGUUUGAUCAUGGCUCAGGACGAACGCUGGCGGCGUGCCUAAUACAUGCAAGUAGAACGCUGAAGAGAGGAGCUUGCUCUUCUUGGAUGAGUUGCGAACGGGUGAGUAACGCGUAGGUAACCUGCCUUGUAGCGGGGGAUAACUAUUGGAAACGAUAGCUAAUACCGCAUAACAAUGGAUGACACAUGUCAUUUAUUUGAAAGGGGCAAUUGCUCCACUACAAGAUGGACCUGCGUUGUAUUAGCUAGUAGGUGAGGUAACGGCUCACCUAGGCGACGAUACAUAGCCGACCUGAGAGGGUGAUCGGCCACACUGGGACUGAGACACGGCCCAGACUCCUACGGGAGGCAGCAGUAGGGAAUCUUCGGCAAUGGGGGCAACCCUGACCGAGCAACGCCGCGUGAGUGAAGAAGGUUUUCGGAUCGUAAAGCUCUGUUGUAAGUCAAGAACGAGUGUGAGAGUGGAAAGUUCACACUGUGACGGUAGCUUACCAGAAAGGGACGGCUAACUACGUGCCAGCAGCCGCGGUAAUACGUAGGUCCCGAGCGUUGUCCGGAUUUAUUGGGCGUAAAGCGAGCGCAGGCGGUUUGAUAAGUCUGAAGUUAAAGGCUGUGGCUCAACCAUAGUUCGCUUUGGAAACUGUCAAACUUGAGUGCAGAAGGGGAGAGUGGAAUUCCAUGUGUAGCGGUGAAAUGCGUAGAUAUAUGGAGGAACACCGGUGGCGAAAGCGGCUCUCUGGUCUGUAACUGACGCUGAGGCUCGAAAGCGUGGGGAGCGAACAGGAUUAGAUACCAUGGUAGUCCACGCCGUAAACGAUGAGUGCUAGGUGUUGGAUCCUUUCCGGGAUUCAGUGCCGCAGCUAACGCAUUAAGCACUCCGCCUGGGGAGUACGACCGCAAGGUUGAAACUCAAAGGAAUUGACGGGGGCCCGCACAAGCGGUGGAGCAUGUGGUUUAAUUCGAAGCAACGCGAAGAACCUUACCAGGUCUUGACAUCCCGAUGCUAUUUCUAGAGAUAGAAAGUUACUUCGGUACAUCGGUGACAGGUGGUGCAUGGUUGUCGUCAGCUCGUGUCGUGAGUUGUUGGGUUAAGUCCCGCAACGAGCGCAACCCCUAUUGUUAGUUGCCAUCAUUCAGUUGGGCACUCUAGCGAGACUGCCGGUAAUAAACCGGAGGAAGGUGGGGAUGACGUCAAAUCAUCAUGCCCCUUAUGACCUGGGCUACACACGUGCUACAAUGGUUGGUACAACGAGCUGCGAGUCGGUGACGGCAAGCUAAUCUCUUAAAGCCAAUCUCAGUUCGGAUUGUAGGCUGCAACUCGCCUACAUGAAGUCGGAAUCGCUAGUAAUCGCGGAUCAGCACGCCGCGGUGAAUACGUUCCCGGGCCUUGUACACACCGCCCGUCACACCACGAGAGUUUGUAACACCCGAAGUCGGUGAGGUAACCUUUUGGAGCCAGCCGCCUAAGGUGGGAUAGAUGAUUGGGGUGAAGUCGUAACAAGGUA
rnacentral:rRNA from 1 species